UACAGAGGGCUCAAGCGUUGUUCGGAUUCAUUGGGCGUAAAGGGUGCGUAGGCGGCGCGGUAAGUCGGGUGUGAAAGCUCGGGGCUUAACUCCGAAACUGCAUUCGAUACUGCCGUGCUUGAGGACUGGAGAGGAGACUGGAAUUUACGGUGUAGCGGUGAAAUGCGUAGAUAUCGUAAGGAAGACCAGUGGCGAAGGCGGGUCUCUGGACAGUUCCUGACGCUGAGGCACGAAGGCCAGGGGAGCAAACGGG
rnacentral:rRNA from 1 species